rnacentral:tRNA from 1 species
GCUUUUAAAGGAAAACAGCUAUUCCCCCGGACUUAGGAUCCGGCUCUUCUUGGUGCAAAUCCAAGUAAAAGCU